rnacentral:misc_RNA from 1 species
UUAGAAGAAAUCUCAUGUGUAUCGCCGACCGAUAUCAAGAUGGGUUUCCCUAACUGGACCGUCCCUGCAGACCCUCAAGCCAGGGUCAUGCAGCAAAUAGACACCUCAUUCCGGCGUACAGGAUGGAACGUAGCCCCAGAAGACCUCAUUCAUAUUCCAGAUCACUGGCAACAGUAUCCGGCUCCAGAUAAGUCCCUACAUCUACUCCUGGGAAUGCUAUACGUUUUUCUUUGGCUUGCAGCCAUGAUCGGCAACGGCCUGGUGCUAUGGAUAUUCUCAACUGCGAAGUCUCUUCGAACUCCUUCUAACAUGUUCGUCGUCAACCUGGCCUUCUGCGACUUCAUCAUGUUCUUCGUUAUGCCGAUAUUCGUAUACAACUCCUUCGAUCAAGGUUUCUCCGCCGGCUGGCUCGCUUGCCAGAUUUAUGCCAUGGUGGGCUCCUUUUCCGGCAUCGGCGCAGGUAUGACCAACGCCUGCAUCGCCUACGACAGGUUCAAUACUAUUACGAGGCCGUUUGAUGGGAAGAUUUCCAGGCCCAAGGCGCUUGUGAUGAUCAUCUUCGUGUGGAUAUACACGACCCCUUGGGCGGUAUUGCCGAUGUUCGAGAUUUGGGGCAGAUUUAUGCCAGAGGGAUUUCUGACAGCGUGUUCAUUUGACUAUCUCACGAGAGAUUUUGAUACCAAGUUGUUCGUGGGGGCCAUUUUCACUAUGUCUUACAUCGUCCCCAUGAGUGCAAUUAUUUACUUUUACAGCCAGAUCGUCAGCAAAGUGUUUUCGCAUGAGAAAGCUCUCAGAGAGCAGGCUAAAAAGAUGAACGUGGAGUCUCUAAGAGCAAACCAGCAGCAGAAGAACGAGACAGCUGAGUUGAGGAUAGCAAAGGCCGCCCUGACGGUUUGCUUUCUCUUCGUGGCUUCUUGGACUCCUUAUGCCGUUUUGGCCCUCAUCGGAGCUUUCGGAGAUCAGUCCCUUUUGACUCCAGGGGUUUCGAUGAUCCCGGCAUUGGCGUGCAAGGUCGUUUCCUGCAUAGAUCCGUACGUGUAUGCCAUCAGUCAUCCGAAAUACAGGAUUGAACUACAGAAACGGCUUCCAUGGCUAGCAAUAAAUGAGCCAGCUGACGAUAAAUCAACGGCUACAGAGGCAUCUCUUCCACAGUCUGCCAGUGUACCAACAUAAAAGACGAAACAUUACCAGGACACUUUUUUAUGAAACUCCGGUGCUAUUUAUAUCGAUUCGCUGACAAUUUCAGAAGCGUUGGAAAAUCACUGUGUAGUGGAUGACAUCAGAUUUUUCUAUUCUUCUGAGAAUGAUCAACGUUUGACGACUUUUCAGCUAUUCACACGGAAACAGGAUUUUGGAUUUUGAAACCGUGGCAUUUUUAAGUCUCUUUGAGAGACCUACGUACAAUGCCAACGGAAUAUUGUAGUUAGGUAGUUGGAGUUGGAGAAAAGGGUUAUAAUAAAUUCAGAGGUGAAAUGGCUAAAUCCGUCAGUUUGAUUUAAAUCUCAUGUGAUCCUUACACGAUGGGAUUUCUCAACUGGACCAGUCCUAUAGAGCCACAAGCUAGGCUGAUGGACAAUGUGGACGGUCGUCCGGGGCACCUUCUCGGAUGGGACAUCCCCCCGGAGGAGCUGGUACACGUGCCAGAGCAUUGGCUGCUCUAUCCAGAAGUAGACAAAUCUCUGCAUCUUCUUCUGGGAAUGGUGUAUGUGUUUUUCUUCUUGGCUGCCAUUAUUGGGAACGGAUUGGUAUUGUGGAUUUU